UGCAGUCGAACGAAGUCUUCGGACUUAGUGGCGCACGGGUGAGUAACAUGUGGGAAUCUACCUAGAGGUUCGGAAUAACUACGGGAAACUGUAGCUAAUACCGGAUGUGUCUGCAAAGAGAAAGAUUUAUCGCCUUUAGAUGAGCCCGCACUGGAUUAGUUUGUUGGUGAGGUAAUUGCUCCACCAAGACUACGAUCUAUAGCUGAUUUGAGAGGAUGAUCAGCCACACUGGGACUGAGACACGGCCCAGACUCCUACGGGAGGCAGCAGUGGGGAAUAUUGGACAAUGGGGGAAACCCUGAUCCAGCAAUGCCGCGUGAGUGAAGAAGGCCUUCGGGUUGUAAAACUCUUUCAUCAACGAAGAUAAUGACAUUAAUUGAAGAAGAAGCUCCGGCUAACUCCGUGCCAGCAGCCGCGGUAAUACGGAGGGGGCUAGCGUUGUUCGGAAUCACUGGGCGUAAAGCGUAUGUAGGCGGAUCAAAAAGUUA
rnacentral:rRNA from 1 species